UAUGAGAAAGUAUGCUGUAUAUUGUUACAAAUUUGAAAUCUAGAGAAUUCUUAGUAAAUCUGUUUUUCUAUAAAGGAACUCAAUAUAUUUCUUUUAUGUAGCUCAUGAUGAUGCUCCAGACAAAACUCCGGUGCUUCAGCAUCAAGAAUCAGUGUCAAAACUUCCAGUACAGGAACAGAAAACUUCCAAAGGAGGAAAACACAUCACUCAGGAUGAAGUACCAGAUAGAUAUCGUAUUCUUGAUCAUCAAGACUCAGUGUCAAAAUCAGAGAUUCAAGUGAAGAAACCAAGCUUGCACGAAUGGGAAGGACUUACUGGUAAGUAUAAAAACUAUGGAAAACCUUAAAUUAUUUUAUAUUAAGCUCAGUAGAAGAUGAUUUUAUUUUGGUUCAUGUUAUAUAUUUUUGAACAUGUAUUUUAUAGAAAUGUUA
rnacentral:lncRNA from 1 species